CGGGUGCGGAACACGUGUGCAACCUGCCUUUAUCUGGGGGAUAGCCUUUCGAAAGGAAGAUUAAUACUCCAUAAUAUAUUGAACGGCAUCGUUUAAUAUUGAAAGCUCCGGCGGAUAGAGAUGGGCACGCGCAAGAUUAGCUAGUUGGUGAGGUAACGGCUCACCAAGGCGAUGAUCUUUAGGGGGCCUGAGAGGGUGAUCCCCCACACUGGUACUGAGACACGGACCAG
rnacentral:rRNA from 1 species